AGCGCAACCCCUAUCCUCAGUUGCCAUCAUUAACUUGGGCACUCUGUGGAGACUGCCGGUGUCAAACCGGAGGAAGGUGGGGAUGACGUCAAGUCCUCAUGGCCCUUAUGACCAGGGCUACACACGUGCUACAAUGGCCGGUACAAAGAGUUGCGAUACCGCGAGGUGGAGCUAAUCUCAUAAAGCCGGUCUCAGUUCGGAUUGGAGUCUGCAACUCGACUCCAUGAAGUUGGAAUCGCUAGUAAUCGCGGAUCAGCAUGCCGCGGUGAAUACGUUCCCGGGCCUUGUACACACCGCCCGUCACACCACGGGAGUCGACUGGUCCCGAAGUACGUGAGCCAACCCUUUUGGGAGGCAGCGUCCUAAGGAAUGGUCGGUGA
rnacentral:rRNA from 1 species